UGGGGAAUCGUCUAAUUGGCAGGACACCAGACUCUGGAUCUGUGAAUCGGGGUUCGAGUCCCUGUUCCCCAGCCA
rnacentral:tRNA from 1 species